rnacentral:rRNA from 1 species
UACGUAGGCGGAAAAUUAAGUCAGUAGUGAAAUCCUGCAGCUUAACUGUAGAACUGUUAUUGAUACUGGUUUUCUUGAAUAUAGUUGAGGUAGGCGGAAUGUGUAAUGUAGCGGUGAAAUGCUUAGAUAUUACACAGAACACCGAUUGCGAAGGCAGCUUACUAAACUGUUAUUGACGCUGAGGUACGAAAGCGUGGGGAGCGAACAGGAUUAGAUACCCUGGUAGUC